rnacentral:lncRNA from 1 species
UUAAACUUAGUAAGGGAGAUAUUUUUUAAGAUUAUCUAAAAUGCUUUCUUAUAAGAUAAAUAUUGUUUUGAAGAAAAUAAGGUUUGCCAUCCAUAAACAAAGAGAUUGUUGAACAAAAUGAAUUAUGUUAUUGAUUUUGAUAAUGACAUAAACUUACUUUUGUGCUAACAAUGUCAAUUGAGUUUUAGGCUAAUAAGCGCGGUAUAAUACAAGAAAAUGAAACAUA